GAUAUACUUCUCCAAAAUCGCGGAAAAACCUGGACACAGAGGGAAUCCCGAGGGCUCAUACAAUUAAUGGGCUUUUAUGAUGUGUAAAAAGCAUUAGGAAUAAGGGCGGGGUAAGACCGGGGCCAGCCGCCGCGGAAAUACCGGCAGCUCGGGGGGUAGCCACUUUUAUUGGGCCUAAAGGGUCCGUAGCCGGUCAGGUAAAUCCUUGGGUAAAUCGUACAGUUUAACUGUGCGGCUUCCGGGGAGACUGCUUGAUUUGGGACCGGGAGAGGUUGGAGGAACUCCUAGGGAAGGGGUGAAAUCCUGUAAUCCUAGGUGGACCACCGGUGGGGAAGGCGUCCAACAAGAACGGCUCCAACGGUGAGGGACGAAGGUUAGGGCCGCAAACCGGAUUAGAUACCCGGGUAGUCCUAGCUGUAAACCCUCCAAACUUGGGGUUGGAGAUCCCCCGGGGGUGUCCAGUGCCGGAAAAAAGUUGUUAAGUUUGCCGCCUGGGAAGAAUGGUCGCAAGACUGAAACUAAAAGGAAUUGGGGGGGGAAAGGGCAAAUUCCCGGCCGCUAAAUUCAAUUCCCCCUAUAGGGAGUCGUAUUACAAUUCACUGGCCGCGGUUUUUCAAAA
rnacentral:rRNA from 1 species